AGUGAACGCUGGCGGUAGGCCUAACACAUGCAAGUCGAACGGCAGCACAGGAGAGCUUGCUCUCUAGGUGGCGAGUGGCGGACGGGUGAGGAAUACAUCGGAAUCUGCCCAGUCGUGGGGGAUAACGUAGGGAAACUUACGCUAAUACCGCAUACGACCUUCGGGUGAAAGAGGGGGAUCGCAAGACCUCUCGCGAUUGGAUGAGCCGAUGUCGGAUUAGCUAGUUAGCGGGGUAAUGGCCCACCAAGGCGAGGAUCCGUAGCUGGUCUGAGAGGAUGAUCAGCCACACUGGAACUGAGACACGGUCCAGACUCCUACGGGAGGCAGCAGUGGGGAAUAUUGGACAAUGGGCGCAAGCCUGAUCCAGCCAUACCGCGUGGGUGAAGAAGGCCUUCGGGUUGUAAAGCCCUUUUGUUGGGAAAGAAAUCUUUCAGGCUAAUACCCUGGGAGGAUGACGGUACCCAAAGAAUAAGCACCGGCUAACUUCGUG
rnacentral:rRNA from 1 species